rnacentral:sRNA from 1 species
CUCAUCUGAAGAAUGGAACCAGCAGCCAUUUCAUACACGUGUGAGGGCCUGAGAAGGCACAGAUCCACUUCCUGACACAAGGUACCCACUCUACCCUCCAGCAGCCCUUGGCUAAACCAAGGGAGCCCCCAUGUUCCCAUCCUCUUCUCAUUCCAGCCACCUUUCCUUCUGAGAGUACCUGAUGCCAGUCAGAGACACAUGCCAGGGCCACCGAGCUAGAAAGUUCACUUCCUGCUGACCUUCCUCUUUCUAUAUGUGGGCCUCCCAAGGGACCAGCUCUCAGAGGUACUUGGGAUCCCUCUGUGUGAAGACAAUACCUGCCCCAGUCUUCCAUCCUGUCCAACCAGACUCCGUUGUACUGGCCAUAGGAGUGGGGCCACAGAGAAGGUCAAUGGGGUCCCUUGCUUGCUGGAAACACACUGAGAAUCUGGAGAACACGGCUAUCCAUAGACCAGACUCCACAUAGACAAAACAGGAACUCAGACACACACUCAAGAGAGACAGAUUUCUAGUGAACCAAGCCUCGCUGGACCUCACAAAUGGGGAUACAAAGUUUUUACUUAAACCUCAAAAUAAACCAAGACGCCAGGAAUUUCCAUACCCACCCUACAGAUGGAGAAACAAUACAAAGUUCUAAACACCUUGUUCAAGAUCACAGAGCAGGAAAAUGAGCCGGCAGGACUCUUACUAUCUUCUUGCAGUGGCCCGAUGGAUACCCCUACAAUGCUCGUCCACCUACUGCUCCCAAAGACAAGUCUCUUUGCUUCCUCCGCCUCAUCCUAAACAAGGUACCUCUUUACAGCGCUUUUCCUUCCUUACCCAACUGAAGCCCACCUCCUCCAGGAAGCCUUCUCUAGUUACCUCAGCUUGUUGCCAGCUUAUAGUACUUCCUACUCUUUUGAUACCUUUUAAUAUCUGAUCAUGUGACCUGCCUCCCCACCCAGAACCCUUCCUCUCUCCACAGCUCCCAACACUGAGGAACUGACUGAGGGGAAACCUAUGACCUCCUUGCCUCUCCAUCAUACAAAGGAUCCUGCAAAGAACGCUGAACACCGCCCCCCCACCCACCUUUGGAGCCUAUGCUUCCUGGUGGCCACACAUCAGUUUCCACCUGAGUAAUUGCAGCCCAUCACACAUACAUCAUCCCCUAUAUUUGAAACUCUUUGAGGUUGUCAUGGGAACUGCCUUCGCCUUCAUUCACUGAUCAGACCUCACAAUUAGCUUUGGCAGCGGAAGGCUUUGUCAGUGGCAAUCACCAGGAGGAGGAAGCAGAGGAGAAGGAACAACAGAAGAAAGAUGGUUUUCCUUGGAGAUCCAGCAGAAGCAGACACAGUGAUGGCACUGCUGAUGCCCUGCUGGACAAAGGGGCCGCACCAAACCACCCUCUCGCUUGCCCGUGACAAGUCAGGUCACAUACCUGAGUCCCUGACAGGUCCUGAUGCUCUACCUGUGCUCCCUGCGUCCUGUCAAUGGUUCUCAACUGUCAUAAUGCUGCGACCUUUUAAUAUAGGGUCAUGUGGUGCUGACCCCCAACCACAACAUUUUCGUUGCUACUUCAUAACGGUAAUUGUACUACUAUUAUGAAUUGUAAUGUAGCUAACUGAUAUGCAGGGUUUCUGAUAUGUCACCGCCCCAAAAGGGUUGAGAAUCACUGGUCUAGAUGCUCAGGAGAAGACAGUGUAUUGACUCAAAUGAAACAGUCUUUCGGACCACCAACUCUUCCAGGAGUCAUCAAAUAGCAGGAAACUAUAUGAUGACCCUAUAGAAAAAGGUUAUGUGUGUAUUACACCUCAGGAACCCAGGGUGGCCUGGAGGAAGGACUUCCAAAAGGAAUGAACAGAGAUUUACCCUGCUUUAAGGAUCUGUGAACACCCUCAAGUGUGCCCAGCUGCCUGCAUCUAGACAUCUCUGCCUUUAGCCUCUUUUGAGCUGCACUCCAGGAGCAGAGGGUCAGGGGAGUCACCGCCCUCCUCAAUCCUUCACAAGACAAUACACUCAAACUCUCAACCCAGCCCACUUCCCUUCCCAGCUGGUCUGAAAGAGGCCCAUUAAGGCUAGACUGUCCUCAAGGCACUCCGCCCUUCCAGCUUUAUAACAGAAUUCUGGUAGGAAAAGGUUUCCUUGGUCUCAUGAAGGAUAAAGGUCACACUGUCCCCUCUACUCCUGGCUCAGGCUCAGUGCCUGGCCUGGCCUACACUAGUCGGAGGAGAAGCCUGCUGGAUGGAGCUAGCCACAGGUUAAGACCACCAGACUCUGGAAACUGAGGCAGCACCAAAGAGGAGCUCUACUUCUCCAGGGAUAGGGACAUUGUAGGUCCAGGGGACUCUAGAAGGUAUGUGUUCUCCUUGCUCUAGUGCUUGCUCUUUUCCUCCUGUCCCAACCCCUCCCUGCACCUCUCCUCACCUUCCCACCCCACCCCCAGGCCUCAAGCAAGAACCUAUCCCUCUCCUAGAGUGCCAGCAUCAAUCCUGGAAUCUUUGGGGGAAUGGAGUUACCCCUAUAGGUACAAGUCAAUAAAAAAGACAGGUGAGAACAGCCCAAGGUCUCCCAGACAUGAAUGCCUCAGAAAUGGAACGCUAUAGUCCAGUACCUGGCCCCUUGCUUUUGAAUCAGCUUCUCCUUGUCCCUUCUGAGGCUUCCUCCAACAAUCAAGAGGGGCAGUGAGGUACAAGGACAGCCACAGUUCUGUCCUGUUGUGAGGACCUGGAUUCAUUGUGCCAUCAGCAGUGGGAGACAUGUAAUUUGUCAACUAAUUGCCAGGGUUUAGCAUUCUGGAACCCCCACAAGUCAGUCAGGUCAGCAAUGCAAACAACAGAGCCAUCUGAGAGCCCUGCCCACCACAUUGCUUGAAGCAAUCAAGCAACCCCCAGACUUGAGUUCACCUGAAAGACAACUGAUGAUCUCACACAGAGCUGCUUUCCCAGGCCCCCAUCACCCACCCCCGUCUCAGUCAUUAGCAGAAACUCAGGCUGUCAACUUCUCAUGUAAAUGGUAGACAAGACCACCAAAGUGUACAUAGUCCAGGAGUGGCAGCAGCUUUGGACCCACACAGAUCACCAGGCAGAGGCCUAACAGACUCUUCCAGAACAACCAACUGGACCACAGCGGGUGCAUGAGGAAGAUAAGGGGGUCUUCACCCCCAACAUCCUCUUCCUGAGCUUUCCACUCUUCUUCUAUAGGCAAAGAAGAGAUGGGGACUAGACAUUGAGUCCCAGAAUGGUUUGUCAGCCCACCUAGCCACCACACCGCCUUCUGCAGGAGACAGCCUAAGGCAGAGGGAUGACUCUGGGCUGGGCUGGGCUGUGAACAAGUACGUGCAGGAGAAGUUAACUUGAACAAUGUUCCCCGAGGCUUUGAUCAGGACUAGGUGGAAGGGUCCUAGUAGGGCGUCUCACCGCACUGGAUCCCACUGCUGCACUAAAGAAAAACAUAGUCAUGCCUUCCAGAAUGGUUUCUGAAGUAGGCUAGAAUCAGAAGAAGAUUGUUCUCUUCUAUACCACAGCCAUGAUUCCCAGCCCAAAAGGCCAUUUCCUCAACCUGAAAGAGGCUGUGAUGAGGAUGGAUCUGGGGACCACACAAGGACACCCUCUGUCUAGCUCCUAGCUCUGCCCAAUGGCUCUUCAAUACUGCUUUCUUCUUGAGACAGGGUCUUAGUAUAUAGCGGAGACUGGCCUGGAACUCACCAUGAAAGAGGCUGGACUACAGAAAGAGUUAAGCCAACCUCCAGCUCAGGAGUCCUUUCUGCUUCUACCUCCCAAGUGCUGGGAUUACAGGUAUGAGCCACCGCUCUCCCAUUCUUUCUCUGCACUGUCCAACCUGAGCCAUUAGCCGUAUGCAGCUGAGCGGUUAGAAGGCAGCUAUUGCGACCACUGCUGUAAUUUUAAUUUUAACUUAAAUAGCCAUCCAUGGUUUAUGGAUCUCACAUUGGAUGGCUCAGAUAGAGCACGCUUUUAAAGCCUGGAAUGGCCAUGAGUAUUCUAGGGAAUGUACUACAAACCAAAUACUGUCUCCCCAGGAAGAGAUCCUGUUGCACAUUCAAGAGAAAUUCAGCUGAACCUUUCAGAAAGCUCACAAGCCUGACCUCAACCCAGAUCUGAAACUAAGUCUUGUUAUAGGAUAAAGCCUAGGGCUGGGGUAUAGCUUAGGCAUAAAGUACUCACUUGUCUAAUGUGUUUGAGUUCUAAUUCCCUGCAUGACAAGAGAAAUUAGGGAGCUAGAGAGGUGGCUCCAUUCAGCAAAGUGCUUGCUGUCCAAACAUGAGGAUCCGAGUUUUGAUCUCCAGAACCUACAGCACCCACAUGACAGCCCAGCUUUGAUGCUGCUCUAGCACUGGAGACAGGAUCCUUCUUGGGGGUGGCUGGACAACCAGUCUAUCUGAAUCUUCAGUUACUGAAUCUGAAGACUGUCACAAAAGAAAUAAAAGGGUUGGCCUAGAGACAUGGCUCAGUGGUUAAGAACACGGAGGUUCACUUCCCAGCACCCACAUGUCAGCUAACAACUAUCUUUAACUCUGGUCCAGGGGAUAUGAUACCACCCUUUUCUGGCCUCCACAGACACUGGGCACACACAUGAUGCACAGACAUACACGCAAGUGAAACACCCAUAUACAUAAAAAAAAUAUACAUUUAAAAUAAGGUGGACAGAUCAUGGUAGCAAGAGACAAAAGGGUUCUCUGAGUUCAAGGCCAGCUUAAACCACCUUCAUGAAUUCCAGACCAGUCAGGUCUAUUUAGUGAGAUGCUAUCUCUAAAUAGAAGGUGGACAUCAAUUGAGGAAGACAUUCGAUGUUGAUCAUUGGCCUCUGUGAGUGCAUGUGCACUCACACACAAUCACUCACACACACACACACACACACACACACACACACACACACUACAAAAAUGUGACCAAAAAUGCUAUGGCCCAGGAUAGAUAUUUCUUUUGCAAGGAAGCGGUCUUAGGAAUAUGAAACAACACCUUAUGUUCCCUUCCCACAGACCCUGAAGAUCUCUCCCUCCCUUCUGAUAGCAUCACCAGUCAGCACCCAGCCUCUAUCCAGACACAUGCAAGCACAGGAAACAGCACCCCUCAGACAGCUAACAGUGUAGGAAAAACUGUAAACACACAUUCCUUUUUUCUACCAUGGCUUCAGUUGCCCGCUUAGAAGCUACUAACAGAAGGCCUGUAGACGCCUCCACAGGAAGGAACUGGCUCCUCUUCCACACAACGUUUGUUCUUCCACUCGUUUCUAAGUGACUAGCCCCAUUUCCUUUGAUUGUCCUAUAUGUGACCACUGCGACAGGUCUCAAGAUAGGCAGACAGAAUCCUUUACUGAGUCCCAGCUCUUUCCACCUGGUCAGGAAGCCAAGCCCUGACACGUGCAGCUCUUUUUAAAACAAGCCCAAGAGGGCUGGACAAAUGGCUCAGGCAUUAGGAGCAUUUGUUCUUACAGAGGCCCCAGGUUCGAUUCCUAGUACUCAUGCAAUGGUUUGAAACCAUCCAUGGUUCCAGUUCCAAGAGGAUCCAACACCCUCUUCUGACCUCUGAGGGCACCAGGCAUGCACAUGAGAAAGGAGGCAGAACACUCGUACACAGAAAUUAUUUUAAGAAGUGAAACAAGUCUAGGCCUUUCCACUUAAGUCCCUCUGACUUUGGCCGAGCCUUGCUGCUUAGGCUGCUGCAGUCUCUUCAGCCCUUUGUCCUAUCUUACAGUCACUUCCUCAUCGGCCAACACCCACUCAUGAUCUGCUGUACAAUCUCAGACCCUUCAACCAGACCCAAGAUUCCACAGACAUACCCCUCCCUCUGUUAACCACCAUUUAUGACCUGUGGGCCUCCCUCAUUUAUUACCUCCCUCAUCAGGUUUUCCAGCAGCAAACAUCUGAGAGCCUUCCUGGCUAUUUUCAGAUUGCACCCAAGUCCUUAAACAGUACCACCCCAAACUCACUAGCCCAAGGCACUCCAGAGGAAUGAGAACACAGAGGCAGUCCUGGAUCGGGUUCCCCUUUCCUGGUUGGCAACUAGAAUCCUGUGCCUGACUGUGAGUUAUUUUGCCCCCUUCCCCCUGCCCCAUACCUUCUUCUCCUUGUCUCACAGUGUUAAGAGAUUUACUCUUCAAAUUCUAAUGGUUAUAUAAACCACCUGGGUAUCUGGCCCAACUACAGAUUUGGGUGUAAAAGGUCUGGGAUAAGACCAGAGAUUCUGCAUUCUGUAACAAGCUCUGGAAAACGCUGCAGAUCAGCUGUAUAGCAAGGUAGAAGGGAAGCUAAACCACUUGGUGCGCUGCGACUCUGGUGAGAGCCUUGCCUCUGUAUGCAGCAGAGGGUCUCCACCCUGCACAGCAGAUUUGCUUCAAGAGCCUCAGGCCAGUCAACUCGGCUCUAGGUCGGUUAGGCAGGUGGGAACCCACGCCCUACAAGUGUAACAUUUCCCCAGGUGACCCCAGUGUGGAGUCCCCAUCCACACUGGACGAUGGAACAGGCAGUAAAGCCUGUCAGUUCUGUCCAGGAGGUUUCAAGAGAGAAUCAUUUCUCUGCAGAAACCCAGAUCUUAGCUUCUCUAGGCUGCUUGCUAAGGAACCAUGGGCAUUCCCAUAGCCCAUUGCUAGCCUAAGUUUCACUUCUCUCAAGUAACACCACCACCCUGUCAAUAAUCUGCUCUAGAACUAUCAAAAAUUAACUAUUAUAUUUACAAUUUCCAAACCACUGGGAAAAAACUGGACUUCCUGCCAGUCCUAACCUGCCCUUCGGUCACUUAACACCAUAAUUCUGUAAAGACUGAGGACUUGGAGCACUCAGUAAAAUGUGCAGUAGGGAGCAAAUGGUCAGUGGUGACCGGCUCUCCUUCCCCAGUAUAAACCCCCUAGCACCCAGGGACCCAAUGGCUGCUUUUCCUGCCCCUAAUUAUGCUCCCCAAGUUGGAGGCCUCCUUCACUUCCUUCUCCUUGCUAUACAGAGAAACUGCUGUCAUACGCAUUUCCUACUAGGCAUAGUACAUUCUGGCUACUUGCCUCCCAGUUUGCCUGGGAAGGCUCAGACUGCUCCUGAACCUUCCAUGUCACAAACCCCCAGUGGGCACAACCUUGACCAUCUGUACACUUGACCAUAAUGUGUCAUCACACAAAUGGCUCAGUUAGGCUUGGGCCCCCUUCACUAUCCUUAUCACAUUUCCUUUUGUAAAAAACACUCCCUUCCCUCCACUGACUGUCCUUAUUGAGUCUGUGGCUAUGGGGUUAAAAACAGUAUCUCGAUUUUCUGGUCUUCUGGCCCAGCCUUUUCUCAGGCCUCAAACAUCUGGGUGGGCUUUUUUUUUUUUUUUUUUUUUUUUUUUUAAAGAAUCUCAUCACCUAGCUUACUUACUCUAGCCAUCUCUCCCUUUGCUGAACACCAUCCUCUGGAAACUGAACUCCCAAAUGGCUUAGCAAGAACCCACCAUGUUUCUGACAUUGCUGAAAGACUGCCUAAGCCUGGAAAGCUGACACAGAUGCACACAGCUGAUGGCUAACAAGGACCCUCUAACCACAGACCAUUUAUCCGCUGUGGUCCGUACAGUUCUUCAGCUUCCAACCUAAUGCAUGUAUUUUUCUGUACAGAUUCACUUCUCCUGCUUACUCAGGUCUUUGCUUCCUUAGCCUAUGCCCAAGGCCAUGGCACCUUGUUCCUGGGGUAGAGACAUCCCCUUCCUAUGCCUGGCUGCAAAGUCCUGUUCUACAUUGUUCCAAGCCAGGGGAUGUCUCAAGAUAAACAUUUAAUGUGUGUUUACAGGCUUACAAGUCAGUCAGACUAGUGUACAGUUGUUAAUAUGUAAAGCCUAAUCCUGCCGCUGUGUGUCAGAGAAGUUGCAUUUUCUAUCUUACAUUUUAUCCUUCUGAGAUUCUGAGAUUCACAACCAAGAAAACCAAUGCCAGAGGGUUUUACUCUGUCACCCUAUGGUGCCACAUACUCAGUCGACUAAAGAGGCAUGCCUUUAUUAAAGUGAAAAGGAUGUAAAUCAAACAAACUCAGACACCAGCCUAAGCUCUGGGUUUUUUCUGGAAUUAGGAAUGGAGACUACAGUCCUGUCACACCUACUGCCAACCCAGAGAAGCAACCACCUGCUCCUGGGAAUCCAUCUUUAAUCUUUAAAUUCUGAACUACUGAGUCCAAGGAUUCUGGCACACCCUUCCCAAAGCCCACUGGGAAAAAAAGAAAGCCAAGUAGAGAAGAGAAAACCACAGGAUAAGCUUCCCCUCCCAUGGCCCUUCUAGGAUAGUACCAAGUCGCUGUGCUGUCAGCAGACAACAUAAGAGAAACCCCAAAGGCAGCUGGGAGAGUUGAGUCAGGAUGGCGUUAAGGAUGUCCGGAGGACUGGAAACCCCAAGGAGUACAGAUAAAAGCAGAUGGUAGGACCUCUUGAGGCUCUGCAGAGGGAGUGUCCCACCAUACCUGAGGAGUCAGGCCAAAAGGAAAAAAAAAAAAAAAGACCUCACCAGUCCUGGGACACAUUUGGUCUGCUAAGCACUGCAAAGAUCAGAUGAUUAAGGUCCCUGCGGUCCCCUGGGGCUGCUAAACACUUUGCUCCCGAAGAGUCUGUCAGGCGCGUCUCAGCCCUUGAAUGUGCCAGAGACAAGCCCAUUAGGUGGAGUUGCUGGCUAGAUAGAUAGCUGUUCUCAGACUUUCAGGCCUUUAUUUGUUCUGUUUUGUUUUUCCAAAGGAGAGUUACUAGUUACCUUUUUAAAAAUCAAGCAAAGACAAAAGGAAAAAAAAAGAGAGAAAGAAAACCUUUCUUCAAAGUUUAAAUAUCAAUGUGAAGGAAUCCAACGAGACCACUGCUCUUUGAAAAAAGAAAAGUCAGGGUCACCACCAAGAGGAUGGGGAAAGGCGCUGGCUGCAAAGCCUCAGGACCCAAGUUUGAUCCUCAGAACUCACAAGGUAGAAGGAAGAGAACAGACGCUCAUGCUGUUUUGACCUUCACUAGGCACUGUGGUGUGGAAAUACACACAAAUAAACAUAACAAAAUAGUUGGCCUUACGAAAAAACUCUUUCCAUCAUCCCCACUACACUGUUUCUUCAGAAACUGGAAGCAAGCCCUGGUCCACAAACCUACAUACGUGUAGAUGUCCUGGGUACGGCAGGGUGUCCAGCUACAUUUUUACCUGGCCUAGAGUAGCCACCAACCACGGUGAGGUCUGCCUAGUGUGCAGACUUCUCAGGGCUGUCUCUAAGCCUCGGUCAACCCAGGUCCACAGUAUUUCUACCAUGACCACUGGGCAACCCGGCAGCAGCUUUCUCAAGAGGACAGAGGCCCUGGCUUCAUCCCCAGCUCCUUUGAUCCACUGUUGCCAAAACAGGCACUUAAUGACAUCCACAAAUGUCACAAGAAUAUCUAGUCCAUAGGGUUUGGCAUCUUUACCCUUGAGUCUGUCAGGAGUGGAGAGAGAACGGGAAAUAGGAAGCUCGCAUUAGGAAGCGGUGCAACACACCAGGCUGUUCUAA